CACCUGUUCCCAUGCCGAACACAGAAGUUAAGCUCCUUAGCGCCGAUGGUAGUCGGACUGACGUUCCGCUAGAGUAGGACGUUGCCAGGC
rnacentral:rRNA from 1 species